rnacentral:rRNA from 1 species
GAUGAACGCUGGCGGCGUGCUUAACACAUGCAAGUCGAACGAUGAAGCCCAGCUUGCUGGGUGGAUUAGUGGCGAACGGGUGAGUAACACGUAGGAAACUUCCCCUUAAUUCUGGGUUAAGCCUGGGAACCUGGGCUUAUACCGGGUAGGGAGCGUCCACGGCAUGGGGGGGUUUGGAAAGAUUAAUCGGUUUUGGAUGGAUUCGCGGCCUAUCAGCUUGUUGGUGGGGAAAUGGCUCACCAAGGCGACGACGGGUAGCCGGCCUGAGAGGGUGACCGGCCACACGGGGACUGAGGCACGGCCCAGACUCCUACGGGAGGCAGCAGUGGGGAAUAUUGCACAAUGGGCGCAAGCCUGAUGCAGCGACGCCGCGUGAGGGAUGACGGCCUUCGGGUUGUAAACCUCUUUCAGUAGGGAAGAAGCGAAAGUGACGGUACCUGCAGAAGAAGCACCGGCUAACUACGUG